GGUAAAACCAGCACCUCAAGUGGUCAGGAUGAUUAUUGGGCCUAAAGCAUCCGUAGCCGGAUCUGUAAGUUUUCGGUUAAAUCUGUACGCUUAACGUACAGGCUGCCGGGAAUACUGCAGAUCUAGGGAGUGGGAGAGGUAGACGGUACUCGGUAGGAAGGGGUAAAAUCCUUUGAUCUAUUGAUGACCACCUGUGGCGAAGGCGGUCUACCAGAACACGUCCGACGGUGAGGGAUGAAAGCUGGGGGAGCAAACCGGAUUAGAUACCCGGGUAGUCCCAGCUGUAAACUAUGCAAACUCAGUGAUGCAUUGACUUGUGGUCAAUGCAGUGCUGCAGGGAAGCCGUUAAGUUUGCCGCCUGGGAAGUACGUACGCAAGUAUGAAACUUAAAGGAAUUGGC
rnacentral:rRNA from 1 species